AACUCAACCGAAAGCCUGCAGAGAGCAGAACAUGGAAGGAGACUUCUCGGUGUGCAGGAACUGGUAAGAAAGCGCUUUCUCCAGCGGCAGACCCGGGCUGGCGAGGGAGAGACGCAGACGACAUAGGGCUGUUUCUGAAGGGAGCAGAAAGUGGUUCCUGCAUAAGAACACUUAGGAGGACAAGCAGCUGGAGACCGUGGGCCCCAAGGUAAAAGACAUGUAGUCUCUGCCAACUUCACCCUCCAUGAGGCUUACUGCCUGCGGUUCCUGGUCCUGUGUCCGGAGUGUGAGGAGCC
rnacentral:sRNA from 1 species